GAUGAACGCUGGCGGCGUGCUUAACACAUGCAAGUCGAACGGGAAACCUUUUAUUGAAGCUUCGGCAGAUUUAGCUGGUUUCUAGUGGCGGACUGGUGAGUAACGCGUGGGUAACCUGCCCUAUACAGGGGGAUAACAACCAUACAUGGUUGCUAAUACCGCAUCAGCGCACAGGGCCGCAUGGUCCGGUGUGAAAAACUCCGGUGGUAUAGGAUGGACCCGCGUUGGAUUAGCCAGUUGGCAGGGUAACGGCCUACCAACGCGACGAUCCAUAGCCGGCCGGGGAGGGUGAACGGCCACAUUGGGACUGAGACACGGACCAGACUCCUACGGGAGGCAGCAGUGGAGAAUAUUGCACAAUGGGGGAAACCCUGAUGCAGCGACGCCGCGUGAAGGAAGAAGUAUCUCGGUAUGUAAACUUCUAUCAGCAGGGAAGAGAGUGACGGUACCUGACUAAGAAGCCCCGGCUAACUACGUG
rnacentral:rRNA from 1 species